CAGAAUUAUGUUCUGAUUAAUUUAACGCAGCCCGUGUAUAAAGACCGUUUUCAUUAACGUUCGCUUUGCCCGCGCGGGCGAAGCGUUCAUUGUUUUUGACGCCCGUCACGUCCGCGUGACCAGAUUUUCAAGGCCCGCUCCACCCGCGCGGGCAAAGCGACUGCAAUGGAAACCGGCCUUAAAACAGUAAAAACUCCUUGCUCUGCAGUCAGUAGAACCAGUUUAAUCGAACAGACAGG